rnacentral:rRNA from 1 species
AUCCAAGGAUGGCAGCAGGCGCGCAAAUUACCCAAUCCCGACACGGGGAGGUAGUGACAAUAAAUAACAAUACGGGGUUCUUUAGGAUCUCGUAAUUGGAAUGAGUACAAUUUAAAUCUCUUAACGAGGAACAAUUGGAGGGCAAGUCUGGUGCCAGCAGCCGCGGUAAUUCCAGCUCCAAUAGCGUAUAUUAAAGUUGUUGCAGUUAAAAAGCUCGUAGUUGAAUUUCGGGGUUAGUAGGUUGGUCAUGCCUCUGGUAUGUACUGGUCUCANNGAUUCCUCCUUCCUUAUGAACCGUAAUGCCAUUAAUUUGGUGUUGCGGGGAAUUUGGACUGUUACUUUGAAAAAAUUAGAGUGUUUAAAGCAAGCUAACGCUUGAAUACAUUAGCAUGGAAUAAUGAAAUAGGACGUUCGAUCUUAUUUUGUUGGUUUCUAGGAUUGACGUAAUGAUUAAUAGGGAUAGUUGGGGGCAUUAGUAUUCAAUUGUCAGAGGUGAAAUUCUUGGAUUUAUUGAAGACUAACUACUGCGAAAGCAUUUGCCAAGGAUGUUUUCAUUAAUCAAGAACGAAAGUUAGGGGAUCGAAGACGAUCAGAUACCGUCGUAGNNNUAACCAUAAACUAUGCCGACUAGGG